rnacentral:rRNA from 1 species
CAGCAGCCACGGGAAUACGUAGGUGGCAAGCGUUGUCCGGAAUUAUUGGGCGUAAAGGGCUCGCAGGCGGUUUCUUAAGUCUGAUGUGAAAGCCCCCGGCUCAACCGGGGAGGGUCAUUGGAAACUGGGAAACUUGAGUGCAGAAGAGGAGAGUGGAAUUCCACGUGUAGCGGUGAAAUGCGUAGAGAUGUGGAGGAACACCAGUGGCGAAGGCGACUCCCUGGUCUGUAACUGACGCUGAGGAGCGAAAGCGUGGGGAGCGAACAGGAUUAGAUACCCCCGUAGUCCCUGUCUCUUAUAA